ACGAUGGCUAAUACCGCAUAAUGCCUACGGGCCAAAGAGGGGGACCUUCGGGCCUCUCGCGUCAGGAUAUGCCUAGGUGGGAUUAGCUAGUUGGUGAGGUAAUGGCUCACCAAGGCGACGAUCCCUAGCUGGUCUGAGAGGAUGAUCAGCCACACUGGAACUGAGACACGGUCCAGACUCCUACGGGAGGCAGCAGUGGGGAAUAUUGCACAAUGGGCGCAAGCCUGAUGCAGCCAUGCCGCGUGUGUGAAGAAGGCCUUCGGGUUGUAAAGCACUUUCAGUCGUGAGGAAGGUAGUGUAGUUAAUAGCUGCAUUAUUUGACGUUAGCGACAGAAGAAGCACCGGCUAACUCCGUGCCAGCAGCCGCGGUAAUACGGAGGGUGCGAGCGUUAAUCGGAAUUACUGGGCGUAAAGCGCAUGCAGGUGGUUUG
rnacentral:rRNA from 1 species